AAAAAUUUGAGAGUGGGGAUGUGAAAAGUUGAGAGUGGGUUGGGCUUCUGUGCGUGAGAAACAGAGGAAGUGUUCUUCCUCUCGAGCACGAGCUAUGAUUUUUAGGGUUUCAAUUCUAAGUUUUGUGAGAAGAAAAUACAAGAGUGAGUCUUGUCCAAUCUUUCACACCACUACCUCCUUGUAAAGUUUCAUCUUCCAAUCCAAAGGAGUCUAGG
rnacentral:lncRNA from 1 species